ACGUAGGGGGCGAGCGUUAUCCGGAUUCAUUGGGCGUAAAGCGCGCGUAGGCGGCCCGGCAGGCCGGGGGUCGAAGCGGGGGGCUCAACCCCCCGAAGCCCCCGGAACCUCCGCGGCUUGGGUCCGGUAGGGGAGGGUGGAACACCCGGUGUAGCGGUGGAAUGCGCAGAUAUCGGGUGGAACACCGGUGGCGAAGGCGGCCCUCUGGGCCGAGACCGACGCUGAGGCGCGAAAGCUGGGGGAGCGAACAG
rnacentral:rRNA from 2 species